UACGAGAGGCCCAAACGUUAUUCGGAUUUACUGGGCUUAAAGAGUUCGUAGGCGGUCCGUCAAGUGAGGUGUGAAAGCCCUCGGCUCAACCGAGGAAUUGCGCUUCAAACUGACGGGCUCGAGGGAGAUAGGGGUGAGCGGAACUGAUGGUGGAGCGGUGAAAUGCGUUGAUAUCAUCAGGAACACCUGAGGCGAAGGCGGCUCACUGGGUCUCUUCUGACGCUGAGGAACGAAAGCUAGGGGAGCAAACGGG
rnacentral:rRNA from 1 species